rnacentral:piRNA from 1 species
UCUCAAGAGAAAUAUGAAUGUUCUGCCUC